GGGAAUUUUACGCAAUGGGGGAAACCCUGACGUAGCGACACCGCGUGAGCGAAGAAGCCUUUUGGGGUGUAAAGCUCUGUCAGCUGGAACGAACACAAUGACGGUACCAGCAGAGGAAGCAUCGGCUAACUACGUGCCAGCAGCCGCGGUAAGACGUAGGAUGCAAGCGUUGUCCGGAUUCAUUGGGCGUAAAGAGUUCGUAGGUGGUCUGUUAAGUUUGGUGUUAAAGAGCGGGGCCCAACCCCGAUAGUGCACUGAAUACUGGCAGACUUGAGUGCGGUAGAGGUAAGUGGAAUUCCAAGUGUAGCGGUGAAAUGCAUAGAUAUUUGGAAGAACACCAGUGGCGUAAGCGACUUACUGGGCCGUAACUGACACUGAGGAACGAAAGCCGGGGUAGCGAAUG
rnacentral:rRNA from 1 species